rnacentral:lncRNA from 1 species
AAGAAGAGGAGGAGGAGAUGGAACUGAUGCAUCAAAAAAGAGGUACAACUGUGGAGGUUCCCAUUGCCAAAACAAAAGGAACCAAGACUCCUGCAACGAAGUCUUCAAAAUAUGUAUCUGCUGAACCCUACUUAGCAAGAAGAACUAGGUCGGCAAUGAACGGAAAAUAGGUAAAGGUUAUUGAAAAAGAAGAAGAAGAAUGGAGCGGGGAAGAAGAAGAGGAGGAGUCUGAAAAGGAACAAGAUCGACUUGCCAUCUUUGGCAGGAGAAAGUUUCUGAAAGGGAGGUCGCUAAAAGACCUGAGGAGCCACACAUGAUUAGAUUGGUAGAUGCCCUAGAUGCACAGGGCUGGAAGGACAUGGUUCUUCAAUUAGAUGGAAGGCUGUCAAGAAAGGAGCUGAUCGCGUUCAUGGAUAAUGCCACUGUGAAAAAUAGGGUAAUCACUAGUGUGGUUAGGGGAGUGAAGGCGCAGUUUGAUGCACCUAAAUUGGGCAAGAUUCUGGACAUACCAUGUGAGGGUUAUGAUGACUACAGCAGGCUUAGGUGGUCUUGUCUAGAUGGUCUUCCUAGUGCUCUCCAAAUCACCAAGAAAUUUUGUGAUACAGAGUCUACUAAAGAUGUGCCAGAGGCAAGGUUUUUGCAGAAGAGUGAGAUGAAGCCUAAGCACAACGUGCUGUUUAAAUUUGUGAACAAGUGUCUGCUUCGCAGACAGGAGAGAAGGCACAUUUCUAACUAUAUGGACUUGGUUCUUCUGAAAUGCCUUGUGAGAGGAAAGCACAUUAACUGGCCUACCUUCAUUGUCAAGCUGCUCGACAGGGUCAUAAAUGGCUUCAAGGCUCAUGCCACCCCUUAUGGUUUCAUAGUGACGACUGUGUUGGAUAGGUUGAAUGUUCCCUUAAAGAAAUGGGAAAUAUUCGUUCAUGGAUAAUGCCACUGUGAAAAAUAGGGUAAUCACUAGUGUGGUUAGGGGAGUGAAGGCGCAGUUUGAUGCACCUAAAUUGGGCAAGAUUCUGGACAUACCCAGUGAGGGUUAUGAUGACUACACCAGGCAGAGG